rnacentral:rRNA from 1 species
AUCGUAUGACAUUUUGUCGACGAUGAUUCAUUCAAAUUUCUGCCCUAUCAACUUUCGAUGGUAAGGUAGUGGCUUACCAUGGUUGCAACGGGUAACGGAGAAUUAGGGUUCGAUUCCGGAGAGGGAGCCUGAGAAACGGCUACCACAUCUAAGGGAGACAGCAGGCGCGCAAAUUACCCAAUCCUGACACAGGGAGGUAGUGACAAAAAAUAACAAUACAGGGCUUUUUAAGUCUUGUAAUUGGAAUGAGUACAAUGUAAAAACCUUAACGAGGAACAAUUGGAGGGCAAGUCUGGUGCCAGCAGCCGCGGUAAUUCCAGCUCCAAUAGCGUAUAUUAAAGUUGUUGCAGUUAAAAAGCUCGUAGUUGGAUUUUGGGAUAAGCUUGUUGGGCCGCCG